rnacentral:rRNA from 1 species
GAUCCUGGCUCAGAUUGAACGCUGGCGGCAGGCCUAACACAUGCAAGUCGAGCGGUAGAGAGAAGCUUGCUUCUCUUGAGAGCGGCGGACGGGUGAGUAAUGCCUAGGAAUCUGCCUGGUAGUGGGGGAUAACGUUCGGAAACGGACGCUAAUACCGCAUACGUCCUACGGGAGAAAGCAGGGGACCUUCGGGCCUUGCGCUAUCAGAUGAGCCUAGGUCGGAUUAGCUAGUUGGUGAGGUAAUGGCUCACCAAGGCGACGAUCCGUAACUGGUCUGAGAGGAUGAUCAGUCACACUGGAACUGAGACACGGUCCAGACUCCUACGGGAGGCAGCAGUGGGGAAUAUUGGACAAUGGGCGAAAGCCUGAUCCAGCCAUGCCGCGUGUGUGAAGAAGGUCUUCGGAUUGUAAAGCACUUUAAGUUGGGAGGAAGGGUUGUAGAUUAAUACUCUGCAAUUUUGACGUUACCGACAGAAUAAGCACCGGCUAACUCUGUGCCAGCAGCCGCGGUAAUACAGAGGGUGCAAGCGUUAAUCGGAAUUACUGGGCGUAAAGCGCGCGUAGGUGGUUUGUUAAGUUGGAUGUGAAAUCCCCGGGCUCAACCUGGGAACUGCAUUCAAAACUGACUGACUAGAGUAUGGUAGAGGGUGGUGGAAUUUCCUGUGUAGCGGUGAAAUGCGUAGAUAUAGGAAGGAACACCAGUGGCGAAGGCGACCACCUGGACUAAU